GUUCCACCCGGGCUCCGGCAGGACGGCUCUCCAUGCGCCGAGAGAGGAGGACGCCGGCGGCCGGAGCCCGACCCUCCCGCAGCUCCCGGCUGCAAAACAUCUGUAUUGACAGGCAGAAGAAUAGCAGAGCUACUUAGAGCAGUUCCAUUACCCAAAAAAGCUGUCUCUAAGGUCUGUGGCAUUUGACAGACUCCCUCAGGUUUGAUCUCACCAGACAAUGGGAACAAGCAAAACCUUCCGAAGUAGAAGCUGACGGUUUAGAAGAUCCCUUUACAUAGCCUUCAUAGCAUCAAGACCUGUUUCACAUCAGGCUAAGCUGCACAGCUCACCUGAAGUGAAACAAGAUGGACACCCUUUGAGGCUGCACAGCAACAGGGCUGCCUUGGAGCCAGCAGCAGUGAUACCAGAGCCAGCUGAGGAAAAGCCCUUGUGUCAGCACUGCACAUCGCCUCCAGACCAGAUACCAUGAUGGGAUGAGGAAGAGGGACAGAGCAAGCUGUGCUCCUAUUGAGAGAGCAGCAGGACUCUGCCUUCUGUUUCUGACCUCACAAUGCAUAUGAAGAGGCCAUCUGAGACAACUUUGAGAAACUUUCAACACCUAUUUCCUUAGUUCAUCCACUACAUCCGGCUUCUAAAGCAGUGAUUUCAAAAUCCAGGAAAAUCCUACUGGAGAGAAAAAUCAAUAUUCUUACUCUUCAAGAUCUUUGUGGUGGAAUUGACAGACAAGCCUUCAUACUUGUAUCCAAUGGAAGCCAUGCUGCUGAACGAUCACCGUGUGCUCGAUUUU